GCGGGAUUAGUAUAGUGGUAGUACACGUGCUUGCCAAGCACGAGACACCGGUCCGAUCCCGGUAUCCCGCA
rnacentral:tRNA from 1 species